CCGACAUCGGACCACUGACGGUUACAAAACACACAAGGCAUCGGUGGAUUUUGGUUGGCAAUCCGACAUAGUGCACGAGUACUCUGCAGGGUCCAAACAGCGGCAUGCUACCUGACAAUCCACCUACGUGAGAGCCAGGUUACAUGCUACCAGCCCCUAGCACCAAGGAGGACCGGCUACUCAUUUGGUGCCAGCAUCGUUUGCAUCAGAUAAAUCACAACAAAGAUAUGGUGACCCAAGACCCACGGUUAUAUAAGGGUGGGGAUGUGAAAUGACUGAGAACCUAUUAUCAAGGUAAAUAGGACCCUUGCUGACCUCACCUGUACCUGUGGCCUCGGAAGGUAUCCAAUGUUACAGGUUUGAAUUCUUAGUAAGAGUAACUGAAAAGUAUAUGUGCUGUCCUGCACCACUAUCCACCUAAACCUACAUUAAUUUCUCAAGAGACUG